rnacentral:rRNA from 1 species
AUGUUCCCUUCCUUCAUGGCCAACCUCCACAACUCGUAUGAUUACUUCACAUUGGUCCUUGCCGGAUCAGGCCACAGCUUCAGGGCACAUGGCCCACCUGGGACCGGGAUGCGCUACUUUGUAACAUGUGACCCUGCCAAUGUUCGACAUAUCUUCACGACCAACUACGCCAACUUUCCCAAGGGCGUGGAGUUCGUCGCUAUCUUCGACAUCCUGGGUGGCAACCUCUUCACCAUUGACAGUGAGCCGUGUCGUCGACAACGCGCCAAAGUCAAAGGCGUGCUCACGAACCCACGGUUGGUUGCCAGUAUUGCAACUUACUGCGUCAACAAGGUAAAGAAUAACCUCCUCCCGUUGUUUACCCACAUGGCGAGGACGGGCACUCCGUUCGACAUGCAAGAAAUGAUGUCGAGGUUUAUGUUUGACAUGGCUGCUGCCUCUUCGUCCUCUCGAUGGACAUGCCACCCAUGGAUGCCGCAGUCGCCAUGGACACGACCAUGGAGGUGGGAUUUUUUCGGCACAUGA